ACUUCCUCUCUCUUUCUAUGCAUUUAUGCACAGCGCAUGUGAUUUCUUUGGUUCUUUCAUUGGUUGCUUUUGAAUUGUUAUUACUGGUUUUUAUUUGUUGUCUGCCAAGAAAAUUUGAGAAAAAGGAGAGCAAUGAGUUCUGGGUAUUUGUUAUCUUCUUGUCUCGUAGUAUAAAGCAAUGACCUUCACUCUUCUGAACCUAAUAUAGUUAUUUGUUUAAUUUUUCUCUUGCAAACUAAAGGGAGAGUGGUGGGAAUUCAAUUUUCUUUCGUUGGGAUUUGGACCCUUUAUUUUAUUAGCAAGGAACUGUUUUGUUUUCCCUAUAUCUGAUUUUGGUGGAGUUUGUGAUUAGGCAUUCAAAAAGUGAAAUGGAAUUACGAUUUUUUUUUUUUUUAUAGAGUUUUGGUAGAUGUUUGGUAUAACAUAAUUGAAUGUAUUCAUUUUCAUGUAAUGAAUUGAUUUGUUAAUUCACUGUUUUAUUAAAUUUUUAUCCGAUCACGUUCCAUUACAUCCAAUUGCAUCCUGCCAAUGCCAAAUAUGCACUUAGUGCUUAUUUUGUUCUAUAAGUUGUAUUAGCUGAUCUGAGGAUAGUCUAUGAAGGAACUGGGCAUGGAAUGUGUGACUUGAUUGUGACAGAUCACAGGAUUUUUUUUCCCCACUCAUUGAGUUGGGCAUUUUUAUGCUACUAAGUUGCAGCUACCUUCUAGGAAAUCUCUGGAAGGAGUCUUAGACCUACCAUUGGUUGAGUCUGUUUUUGCUACAUUCAGAUAUUAUGUUUAAAUAAAGAUGUAAAGUUGUGGAGAGAUCACAGUGCUUAAAGAUCAUUGUACUUCCAACUGACUCCUGUUUUUGUAGCAGGGUUGAUGUUUCCUAUGUUUGUUUGUACAAAUAAUUAUCUGAAGUCUGAGAUAGUCAGAGCUUCACAUUUCCAUGAGAGGGAAUAUCGGUUUUCUACCAGAGCACCAUGGAAGUAUUCUUUUCAGCCCGCUUUUGUAGGCACACCUGAUCUGGUUGAGCAUAGGAAACUCCAUUUCCAGGCAAGAGGUUUUAAGUAUCAAAAGAUGUCAUCUCCAGUCAUGGGAAAAACAGAAAACAAUGUGGCUGUCAAAGAUUAUUCGCAGGAACUAACUCUUUCAAAUUGUUAUGAAACUGCCAUGGAAGCACUUUCCUCUCUCAUUACCCGUAAAAAACGUGGAACCCCCUCAUCUAUCGUUCCCAAAUAUGGAAAAUUGGACAGGAUGCAGAUGUAUCUUAAGAUACUAGACUUGGAAGAGCAUAUAGCUGAGCUCAAGAUUAUCCAUGUUGCUGGAACAAAAGGGAAGGGUUCAACGUGCUCAUUCUGUGAAGCUAUUUUACGAGAAUGUGGCUUUCGAACAGGACUGUUUACUUCCCCUCACCUAAUUGAUGUGAGAGAAAGAUUCCGUAUAGAUGGAUUGGACAUAUCUGAAGAUAAAUUUUUAUUGUAUUUUUGGGAUUGUUGGAAUCGAUUGAAGGAACAAGUAACCGAGGACCUGCCAAUGCCCCCACUAUUUCAAUUCCUCACAGUCUUGGCAUUCAAAAUAUUUGUCUGUGAACAGGUAGAUGUUGCCAUAAUUGAAGUUGGUCUUGGAGGAACAAAUGAUUCAACGAAUGUGAUUAAAGAGCCUGUUGUCUGUGGCAUUACACCUUUGGGGAUGGAUCACACAGAGGUUCUUGGGGAUACACUUGGACAGAUUGCUUCACACAAAGCUGGAAUUUUCAAGCCCCAAAUUCCUGCAUUUACGGUACACCAACUUUCUGAAGCAAUGGAUGUUCUUCAUGAGAAGGCCAAUGAAUUAGCGGUGCCCCUGAAAGUGGUGGAACCUCUUGAUGAAAGAAAGUUGGAGGGAUUGAAGCUUAGCUUGUCUGGUGAUCAUCAAUACACUAAUGCUGGUCUCGCUGUUUUCCUAUGUAAAUGUUGGCUUCAAAGAACAAGAAACUGGGAAAAGAUAUUCCAAAAUGAUAAUGAGGAAGCUAAUAUGCCAAAGGCAUUUCUUAGGGGUCUUGCAACAGCACGUCUUUCUGGGAGGGCUCAAGUUGUUUAUGAUUCUUCUUCAAAUUGCCACAGUUCCUUAGAACUAGCAGAAAAUUCUUCUGGAGAUCUGAUUUUCUACUUGGAUGGAGCUCACAGUCCAGAAAGUAUUGAGGUUUGUGCCAAAUGGUUCUCUAGUGCUGUUCAAGAAAGCAAGCAAUUACCAAAAUUGUUAUCAUCUUUUCAUGAUGUUGAAAUUACAAACGAAGUUUGGGCCAAUGGUUACAUCCAAAGUGAAAGGGGCAGCACUGCAGAGUCUAACAAAAUAUCAAAGAAGGUGAAAUUUUAUAGUCAGUGAGAUUUAGGUUUCAGGCUUGGAGUUCAUAGUCUUUUUUUGUAUCACUUGUACUAUUGAUCCCAUCCUUGUGGUUGUUUUACUUACCAAGUGUUUAAAUUGUCUCCAUUUGUUACCUUCUAAUUUAUUAGUGUUUAAGCCUUGUAGAUUCUUUUAUUCAAUUGCAUGGAGGUCAGAGAUCCCCAAAUUUUACUUCCACGGCUUGUGAGUACAUGUGCUUCCUCAGGUACCUACUUCUCAAAGGCCAUAUUUGUGCCGAGCAUGUCAACAUACAACAAGGUUACUUCUGGCAACUCCGCCAUUCCUUCAGGUAUCUCUAAUAGGGAUUUGUCUUGGCAAUUCAGCCUGCAGAGGCUUUGGGAGAAGAUUAUCCAUGGCAAAGAAGGAGGCGUGCUUGACAAAGGCUCCAAGUUGGACAGUGCAGAGAACUUACCCCCACAUGAAUUCCUUUAUGAGGAUGCUUCUCAUUGCAGUCCUGCAGAUGGAAUUUUGGCUUGCAGUUCUGUCAUUUCUUCAUUGCCACUGACAAUAAAAUGGUUGAGGGAUUGUGUUCGAGAAAACCCUACUCUAAGAGUUCAGGUGCUUGUCACUGGAUCAUUACAUCUGGUUGGAGAUGUACUGAAGCUAUUAAAGAGAUGAAUCAGAUGAUUUUGAUUAAAAGGCUGUCCAAACUUAGGAUUGUCCUUGCGUUCUUUCACACUGAUUUUAGCCGUUGUUUUUAAAGUAGCCAAGGUAUAUCAUGUAAGUUGAUGGUUGGCUAAACAAAUAAUAGACAUUGUUCAAGCGCCAAUCAUGGUGAUUUAUUACUAUCCUUUUUUUGUUCAAGUUACAUGUAUUCUAAUUAUUUGAAGGAGCAACCUUUGUUUAAAAAUUUAUUCAUGGAAUGUUCAAUUUGGCUUCCGAUUAAAAAAUGCUUGCACAUGC
rnacentral:misc_RNA from 1 species